UACGGAGGGUGCAAGCGUUAUCCGGAUUCACUGGGUUUAAAGGGAGCGUAGGUGGACUUUUAAGUCAGUGGUGAAAUCUCUGGGCUUAACCCGGAAACUGCCAUUGAUACUAUUAGUCUUGAAUUCUCUGGAGGUAAGCGGAAUAUGUCAUGUAGCGGUGAAAUGCUUAGAUAUGACAUAGAACACCCAUUGCGAAGGCAGCUUACUACGGAGACAUUGACACUGAGGCUCGAAAGCGUGGGGAUCAAACAGGAUUAGAUACCCGUGUAGU
rnacentral:rRNA from 1 species